GAGUUUGAUCGUGGCUCAGGAUGAACGCUGGCGGCGUGCCUAAUACAUGCAAGUCGAGCGAACGGACGAGAAGCUUGCUUCUCUGAUGUUAGCGGCGGACGGGCGAGUAACACGUGGAUAACCUACCUAUAAGACUGGGAUAACUUCGGGAAACCGGAGCUAAUACCGGAUAAUAUUUUGAACCGCAUGGUUCAAAAGUGAAAGACGGUCUUGCUGUCACUUAUAGAUGGAUCCGCGCUGCAUUAGCUAGUUGGUAAGGUAACGGCUUACCAAGGCAACGAUGCAUAGCCGACCUGAGAGGGUGAUCGGCCACACUGGAACUGAGACACGGUCCAGACUCCUACGGGAGGCAGCAGUAGGGAAUCUUCCGCAAUGGGCGAAAGCCUGACGGAGCAACGCCGCGUGAGUGAUGAAGGUCUUCGGAUCGUAAACUCUGUUAUUAGGGAAGAACAUAUGUGUAAGUAACUGCGCACAUCUUGAC
rnacentral:rRNA from 1 species